CACGUAGGAGGCGAGCGUUGUCCGGAAUCAUUGGGCGUAAAGAGCGCGCAGGCGGCUUGGCAAGUCGGGUGUGAAAUCCCCAGGCUUAACCUGGGAACUGCAUUCGAGACUGCAUUGCUAGAGUAUGGGAGAGGGAAGUGGAAUUUCCGGUGUAGCGGUGAAAUGCGUAGAUAUCGGAAGGAACAUCAGUGGCGAAAGCGACUUCCUGGACCAAUACUGACGCUCAUGUGCGAAAGCGUGGGGAGCAAACAGG
rnacentral:rRNA from 1 species